GCCAGACUCCUACGGGAGGCAGCAGUGGGGAAUAUUGCACAAUGGGGGAAACCCUGAUGCAGCGACGCCGCGUGAGCGAUGAAGUAUUUCGGUAUGUAAAGCUCUAUCAGCAGGGAAGAAAAUGACGGUACCUGACUAAGAAGCCCCGGCUAACUACGUGCCAGCAGCCGCGGUAAUACGUAGGGGGCAAGCGUUAUCCGGAUUCACUGGGUGUAAAGGGAGCGUAGACGGCGGCGCAAGUCUGGAGUGAAAGCCCGCGGCCCAACCGUGGGACUGCUCUGGAAACUGUGCGGCUUGAGUGCGGGAGGGGCAGGCGGAAUUCCUAGUGUAGCGGUGAAGUGCGUAGAUAUUAGGAGGAACACCGGUGGCGAAGGCGGCCUGCUGGACUGUGACUGACGUUGAGGCUCGAAAGCGUGGGGAGCAAACAGGAUUAGAUACCCGCGUAU
rnacentral:rRNA from 1 species